rnacentral:rRNA from 1 species
UUGAAAGGGAAACGAUUGAAGUCAGUCGUACCUAUGGGUAAUCAGCCUUUUGGGUGUGAUUUUGUGGAGCGUGAGGAGUUAAACGCCUUCAUGCCUGCAUAUUCGUGCACUUUGGGUGUACUUGCCCGUAUGGUUGGUUAACAUCAAUUUUGGUGGUCAUAAAAUGACUGGAGGAAUGUAGCUUCGAUCUCGUAUUGAAGUGUUAUAGCCUUCGGUAGAUGUGAUGAUCGAGAUUGAGGAUUGCAACGGAUACCUUCGGGGCUACCCGUCUGANNUCUGAUCGUUGCUCUGGUGCCGAAAGCUUGCUGACGUCGUUNAAGUCGAUGGUCAAUAGGUUAGAACGGGUUAAAUUCGUUAAGGAUGUUGACGUA